UACGUAGGGUGCAAGCGUUGCCCGGAUUUAUUGGGCGUAAAGGGCGCGUAGGCGGCUCUGCACGUCCGUUGUGAAAUCGCCCGGCUCAACUGGGCGGGGUCAGCGGAUACGGCGGAGCUUGAGCAAGCUAGGGGGCAAUGGAAUUCCCGGUGUAGUGGUGGAAUGCGUAGAGAUCGGGAGGAACACCUGUGGCGAAGGCGGCCGGCUGGGGGUACCCUGACGCUGAGGCGCGACAGCGUGGGGAGCGAACCGG
rnacentral:rRNA from 1 species